AGGGCAAGUCUGGUGCCAGCAGCCGCGGUAAUUCCAGCUCCAAUAGCGUAUAUUAACGUUGUUGCAGUUAAAAAGCUCGUAGUUGAAGUGUGGGUGAUCGCUGUUGUGAGACUUCGGUCUCUCGACAGUAAGUCACCCCCUUCCAGUAUCCAGUAGUGGGUAUUCAGUUACUUACUAUUGUGUGUUGGUCCUUUACUGUGAGAAAAUUAGAGUGUUCAAAGCAGGCGUUUGCUUGAAUAGAUUAGCAUGGAAUAAUAAUUGAAGGCUUUCGUGUUCGAUUUGAUUGGUUUGUUCAUGGAAGCAAGGUUAAAAGGAACAGUUGGGGGUAUUCAUAUUCACUAGUUAGAGGUGAAAUUCUCGGAUUUAUGGAAGAUGAACAAGUGCGAAAGC
rnacentral:rRNA from 1 species